rnacentral:lncRNA from 1 species
CUCCAUCAAACACAUUUGCACAGACAUCUGCUAGUCCCUUUUCUUCUUCAGUUUCUUCCAAUCCGUUUUCUUCAAAGCCUUUUGGACCUACAAGUAAUCCUACAUUUCCUUCACCUUUUAACACUUCAUCCAACCCUUUUCAGUCAACCUCAGCUUUUGCAUCGACAUCAUCUUCUGCAUUUACAUCCAGUGUAGCCCCAUCACCUUUUGGGACAACUAGUUCAUCUGCUUUUACUUCAACACCAUCCUUGUUUAAUUCUAGCAUAGGGCAGACAAAUUCUUCACCUUUUGGAAAUUUUACAAGUACUCAAUCAUCUCUCUCAUUCCCAUCCUCCACACCUGCCUUUACACAGACAAGUUCUCCAUUUGGACAAGUGACCACU